CAAAGAAAUGUGAGGUGAAACAUGGUGUCAACUCAAACCCAAGGCUUUGGGGAGUGAAGCGGCAGCCCAAAGUCACACACUUUCAAGUGAAAACUUGAGACAAAAACCUGAGUUUUCUCAGGUUCGCGACUCAUUUUCCAUAGUAACACCUUAGAGGAGUGUUUGUACUGGGGUGGGGAUGGGAGGUUGGGAGAGCCAGUGCCAGGGACAUCUAUUAAAGGAGAAGCAACACGAUUUUAACUGGACACUGGUGCAUCUGGCACAAAGUCAACUCAGGUGAGAGCCACAGGUCUUUCAGGAGCUGACCUCCACAGUGUUCCUGGAACACUCAGAUUGCCUGGCCAGUUUUCCUGUCUGCCUCUUCCCUAGACAUGAAGCACCAGGGAAGAAGGCAAUGUAAUCUAGGUGACUUAGCUUCUGGUAUCGGACACACAAAGCAGGCAAUCAAUGUGCAGUUCCCAUGAGGACCAAGCCCAUCUUCUUGUAUGAGAACUUCCCUCAACUCAUGUGAACACCAUGGCUGACCAGAUUCACAGUAGCCUUUUGGAUUCCUCUUCCCCUCAAACUACAGAGUACCAGACAAACUCAAGUACAGAUAUCCUUCAACUUACACUGAGGUUACAUCCUCACAAACAGGUUGAU